UUCGGAUUGCAGUCUGCAACUCGACUGCAUGAAGCUGGAAUCGCUAGUAAUCGCGAAUCAGCAUGUCGCGGUGAAUACGUUCCCGGGUCUUGUACACACCGCCCGUCACACCAUGGGAGUCGGAAAUGCCCGAAGCCAGUGACCCCAACCUUUAAGGAGGGAGCUGUCGAAGGCAGGUCUGGUAACUGGGGUGAAGUCGUAACAAGGUAAC
rnacentral:rRNA from 1 species